UGGGGAAUAUUGCACAAUGGGCGCAAGCCUGAUGCAGCAACGCCGCGUGAACGAUGAAGGUCUUCGGAUCGUAAAGUUCUGUUGCAGGGGAAGAUAAUGACGGUACCCUGUGAGGAAGCCCCGGCUAACUACGUGCCAGCAGCCGCGGUAAUACGUAGGGGGCUAGCGUUAUCCGGAUUUACUGGGCGUAAAGGGUGCGUAGGUGGUCUUUCAAGUCGGUGGUUAAAGGCUACGGCUCAACCGUAGUUAGCCUCCGAAACUGGAAGACUUGAGUGCAGAAGGGGAGAGUGGAAUUCCAUGUGUAGCGGUGAAAUGCGUAGAUAUAUGGAGGAACACCGGUGGCGAAAGCGGCUCUCUGGUCUGUAACUGACGCUGAGGCUCGAAAGCGUGGGGAGCGAACAGG
rnacentral:rRNA from 1 species